AUUGAACGCUGGCGGGAUGCUUUACACAUGCAAGUCGAACGAGUGGCGGACGGGUGAGUAAUAUAUCGGAACGUGCCCAGCAGCGGGGGAUAACUACUCGAAAGCGUGGCUAAUACCGCAUACUAUUGGAGCGGCCGUUGUCGGAUUAGCUAGUUGGUGGGGUAAAGGCUCACCAAGGCAACGAUCCGUAGCUGGUUUGAGAGGACGACCAGCCACACUGGGACUGAGACACGGCCCAGACUCCUACGGGAGGCAGCAGUGGGGAAUUUUGGACAAUGGGGGAAACCCUGAUCCAGCCAUCCCGCGUGUAUGAGAAGGCUUUCGGGUUGGAAAGUACUUUUGUUAGAGAAGCGGUAUCUGCAGAAUAAGCACCGGCUAACUACGUGCCAGCAGCCGCGGUAAUAC
rnacentral:rRNA from 1 species